UUGUUGGGAUCCCUGGAGCCGCUCACGUCCCCUUAUCACUUUUCCAGCCAGCUUUCUUGUCAUAACCGUUGGACGGAGAACUGAUAAGGGUUUGUGGGUGAGACCUGUGCAGCUGGGAGUC
rnacentral:pre_miRNA from 11 species